CCCUUAGAUGUUCUGGGCCGCACGCGUGCUACACUGAGUGGAUCAGCGGGUCAGGUUGCGCGAAAGCGUUUCCUAAUCUUUAAAUCCGCUCGUGAUGGGGAUUGACGGUUGCAAUUUUCUGUCAUGAACGAGGAAUACCUUGUAAGCGCGGGUCAUCAUCCCGCGCUGAAUACGUCCCUGCCCUUUGUACACACCGCCCGUCGCUCCUACCGAUUGGGUGUGCUGGUGAAAUGUUCGGAUCGGCCGUUUGUCGCGGUUUCCGCGGCUCGUGGCUGAGAAGUUCAUUAAACCCGCCCACCUAGAGGAAGGAGAAGUCGUAACA
rnacentral:rRNA from 1 species